rnacentral:rRNA from 1 species
AGAACGAACGCUGGCGGCAUGCCUAACACAUGCAAGUCGAACGCUCUUGAGGCUUCGGUUUCAAGGGAGUGGCGCACGGGUGAGUAGCGCGUGGGAACCUGCCCUGUUGUGGGGGAUAACCGAGGGAAACUUCGGCUAAUACCGCAUGCGCCCGGGGAAACCCGGGGAAAGAUUUAUCGCGACAGGAGGGGCCCGCGUCGGAUUAGCUAGUUGGUGGGGUAACGGCCCACCAAGGCGGUGAUCCGUAGCUGGUCUGAGAGGAUGAUCAGCCACACUGGGACUGAGACACGGCCCAGACUCCUACGGGAGGCAGCAGUGGGGAAUAUUGGACAAUGGGCGCAAGCCUGAUCCAGCAAUGCCGCGUGAGUGAUGAAGGCCUUAGGGUUGUAAAGCUCUUUCGCCCGCGACGAUGAUGACGGUAGCGGGAGAAGAAGCCCCGGAUAACUUCGUGCCAGCAGCCGC